CUUGAGUUCAUGUAAUAUUUUCAUUUCAGGUGAGGAGUAGUUGUUGGACAAAGGGAAGAAUACACACUGUAGGUGGUUCUAAGUAAGAACAGCUGUAAAGGGAUGUGGAACAUUGAAGCAAAAAUUUCAGAUAAAUGUCUGCAUACAUGGUACACAUGAAAGGCUCCACACCACAGUACUGAAGCAUGCUACUACAGGAGCCACAACAAAAUGGCUCCAAACACUAAUAAGGUGGAGAUGGGCAGUGCCGGUUCAUUUUUAUUCUUCCAGUGGAGUGCUGCAAUACUAUGGUGCAGAUAUCUGUGUACCAAGACUGAAGGCGGAUACCUGCAAACACACAAGCAAUUGAUUUUGUAAUAAUCAGAAGUUUACAUCCAUCACAUGUGCCAAUCUUCUUUGUAUCUACAGCUCUCCACAUUUUCUUACUUCUCCAUAGUUCUUCUUUCAGCAUGUUGUCUUCAAUUUUUUCUUUUUUUCACUAUCCAGCAUGUCACAUAUUAGCUGAAGAAGUCCACCUUUCACUGCUAAUAGUUAAUCAACUUGACUGUAACUUAAGUCUUUCCUGGUUUAUCAUGCUAAUUCCACAUCUUUA